AUUGAACGCUGGCGGCAGGCUUAACACAUGCAAGUCGAGCGGAGCGAGGGUGCUUGCACCUUAGCUUAGCGGCGGACGGGUGAGUAAUGCUUAGGAAUCUGCCUAUUAGUGGGGGACAACAUUCCGAAAGGGAUGCUAAUACCGCAUACGCCCUACGGGGGAAAGCAGGGGAUCUUCGGACCUUGCGCUAAUAGAUGAGCCUAAGUCGGAUUAGCUAGUUGGUGGGGUAAAGGCCUACCAAGGCGACGAUCUGUAGCGGGUCUGAGAGGAUGAUCCGCCACACUGGGACUGAGACACGGCCCAGACGCCUACGGGAGGCAGCAGUGGGGAAUAUUGGACAAUGGGCGGAAGCCUGAUCCAGCCAUGCCGCGUGUAUGAAGAAGGCCUUUUGGUUGUAAAGCACUUUAAGCGAGGAGGAGGCUACUAGUAUUAAUACUACUGGAUAGUGGACGUUACUCGCAGAAUAAGCACCGGCUAACUCUGUGCCAGCAGCCGCGGUAA
rnacentral:rRNA from 1 species